AGUGAACGCUGGCGGUAGGCCUAACACAUGCAAGUCGAACGGCAGCACAGGGGAGCUUGCUCCUUGGGUGGCGAGUGGCGGACGGGUGAGGAAUACAUCGGAAUCUACUCUGUCGUGGGGGAUAACGUAGGGAAACUUACGCUAAUACCGCAUACGACCUACGGGUGAAAGCAGGGGAUCUUCGGACCUUGCGCGAUUGAAUGAGCCGAUGUCGGAUUAGCUAGUUGGCGGGGUAAAGGCCCACCAAGGCGACGAUCCGUAGCUGGUCUGAGAGGAUGAUCAGCCACACUAGAACUGAGACACGGUCCAGACUCCUACGGGAGGCAGCAGUGGGGAAUAUUGGACAAUGGGCGCAAGCCUGAUCCAGCCAUACCGCGUGGGUGAAGAAGGCCUUCGGGUUGUAAAGCCCUUUUGUUGGGAAAGAAAUCCAUCUGGUUAAUACCCGGGUGGGAUGACGGUACCCAAAGAAUAAGCACCGGCUAACUUCGUGCCAGCAGCCGCCGUAA
rnacentral:rRNA from 1 species